rnacentral:rRNA from 1 species
CCUACGGGUGGCUGCAGUGGGGAAUAUUGCACAAUGGGCGCAAGCCUGAUGCAGCCAUGCCGCGUGUGUGAAGAAGGCCUUCGGGUUGUAAAGCACUUUCAGCGGGGAGGAAGGCGUUAAGGUUAAUAACCUUGGCGAUUGACGUUACCCGCAGAAGAAGCACCGGCUAACUCCGUGCCAGCAGCCGCGGUAAUACGGAGGGUGCAAGCGUUAAUCGGAAUUACUGGGCGUAAAGCGCACGCAGGCGGUCUGUCAAGUCGGAUGUGAAAUCCCCGGGCUCAACCUGGGAACUGCAUUCGAAACUGGCAGGCUAGAGUCUUGUAGAGGGGGGUAGAAUUCCAGGUGUAGCGGUGAAAUGCGUAGAGAUCUGGAGGAAUACCGGUGGCGAAGGCGGCCCCCUGGACAAAGACUGACGCUCAGGUGCGAGAGCGUGGGGAGCAAACAGGAUUAGAUACCCGUGUAGUC